rnacentral:rRNA from 1 species
UACGUAGGGUGCGAGCGUUAAUCGGAAUUACUGGGCGUAAAGGGUGCGCAGGCGGUUUUGUAAGCCAGAUGUGAAAUCCCCGGGCUCAACCUGGGAACUGCAUUUGGGACUGCAAGGCUGGAGUACGGCAGAGGGGGGUAGAAUUCCUGGUGUAGCAGUGAAAUGCGUAGAUAUCAGGAGGAAUACCGAUGGCGAAGGCAGCCCCCUGGGUCGAUACUGACGCUCAUGCACGAAAGCGUGGGGAGCAAACAGG